UAAUACAGAGGUGGCAAGCGUUGUUCGGAAUUACUGGGCGUAAAGGGCGCGUAGGCGGUCUUCUAAGUCUUGUGUGAAAUCCCUCGGCUCAACUGAGGAACUGCACGGGAUACUGGAUGACUUGAGUUCGGGAGAGGGAAGCGGAAUUCCGGGUGUAGCGGUGAAAUGCGUAGAUAUCCGGAGGAAC
rnacentral:rRNA from 1 species